UGGGAGUACAGGUGAAGGCGAUUCACCUGUGUGGCCAGAGCCUGGCUCCGACCUUCCUAGACCCCAUUUAAGAUCUGACUACUGGGGAGAAUGUUCUCUUUCUGGAGAUCCCUUCCUCAUGGAGCCUUUCCUGUAAAUCUAGUUCUUCAGAUACAGGCACUCCUGACUGAAGGUGUUGUGCAGUGCCAUGUUUUCCACACUGUUUGGGUCAGAAAAAGAAGCUUCAAGAUUUGCCUGCGUAGAAAAUUCAGCUGCGUAAAGCACCACUAAUGUCAGAGUUGCAAGAAUACUUGGGCAACCUUUCUCAACACAUCCCAAACUGCAACAGGGACAAUGUCUGUCAUUGCUUCUCCUAAUCAGAAAAAAGACACAUUAGUGUAGUUUAACAUAAAGGUGUACUGAAGAUGAUUGGGAAAUGUCAUUAUGUUGUAAACAUAUUAUGCGUGUUGUGAGCGUGCCCUGAGGUGCAACCUGUGCUCCUCUUUCUCAAGCAUGUGCCUUAAUCUGCAUGCUUCCAACAACAUUGGGAUGAGAUACAAACAUGGACUUUGGCUUUCUUUGUGACAAAUAUUUAUACAUAGGCAAUAAGGAAGCAUCUGUGGUUUCAACAGGUUCCUGUGGUUAAUUAGGGGACCUGGAUGUGUUGUAGCCUACUGAGUGUACUACCACUGGUGGGGAAGUAUCAGGUCAAAUGGAGUCCAGAGUGAUUGUAAAAAUGCAGGUGCAGUAUAAUUCUGGACUGUUCUUGUGUUUAAAUUUAAGUAUAUUUAUGUUUAAGUAUAUGUUUUGCUGGACAAAGGCCAGGAUGCUCAGCACUAUGGAGGCUCAAAAUCUUAUAGGAUUUAAACUAGAUCUAUUCAGAUAUUUUUCAUUAACAUGAUAAUUCUGCUGAAAAAAAUGCAAUUAUCACACAAAGAAUGAAUUUUUGCAAGAAGGUUGUGGUGGUGAAAUCAAAACUACAUGUAUCAUUAUAGUAUGAUAAAAUCAUUUUUUAAUUAAAUAAAACUUAUUUUCAGAUAAGUUUAAUACUAAAUAAUAUUCUAUCUUAGUAUCAUGGUAAUGAUUGUUCAAACAGCUCAAAUUCACAUUGCCUAGACAGUUUAGAGCAUUUCUUU